CAUAAUUAACCCGGAUUCUUAGGAUAGAGUUCUUAGCUUCGGUUAAGAACCGUUUCUUAACUUUUAAUUAAGAAAAGCUAAUAAUCGUCUCUUAAAUAAGAGAUAUAAGAACUGGCUUUUAGCCGAAAAUUGUAAAAAAAAAGUGUUAAAUCAUGAGUUAAGAAUUUCAAAUUAAGAGUUCAUAUUAAUCAUAUUCUAAGAGUCCGAAUUAAUUAUGCUCCAAGUGUGAAAAAAAAAUAAAAUAAAUGACACUAUAAAUUAAAAACCUCAAAUUAAGAAUCCGGAUUAAUCAUGCUCUACAAUGUUUAUGCAGGAAACUCUUAUGACGUACUUUUUUGCUUUUUGCUUUUUUGAUUUUCUUAGUUUGUUAGAAACAUAUCCUAAUCUCACUAUUGGAGUUGCCUUAAGCAUAUUCUUUUUUGAAUAUCAUCAUAUCACUGUCACUAUAUAUGGAUAAAUUAUCCGAGUGAUAAGUUGACAUGAUAUUAUUUUUUUGAAUAUCAUUACCCGAGUGAUAAGCAUAACCAUAUCUUCAUCCCGGCAACCUCGGUUUUCAAGUCUCUUGGAACAUCAUUCUUGGCAGUCGGCACAUGAAGGACUUCUCUGUGCUCCUAUCUCCGUGGCUGCGGUAAAGCUGAUUGGCCAUGUCUUUUAAAUUACCUUCUUAGAUGUGUGUAGUGUUUUUCUUGUUUUAUUUUUCUGCCUCGGAAACAUUUGGCUAGACCUCUUUGCAAGUACUUUUGUUCAUUUUAUAUGAUAUUAACAUUCAAGCAAAAAAUAAAAUAAUAA
rnacentral:lncRNA from 1 species